AUAUCAAUAAGCGGAGGAAAAGAAACCAACAGGGAUUGCCUCAGUAACGGCGAGUGAAGCGGCAAGAGCUCAAAUUUGAAAUCUGACUUCUUUGAAGUCCGAAUUGUAAUUUGUAGAGGAUGUUUCGGUUCUGGCUCUGGUCUAAGUUCCUUGGAACAGGAUGUCAUAGAGGGUGAGAAUCCCGUAUGUGAUUGGAAGCCAGUAACCAUGUGAACUUCCUUCAACGAGUCGAGUUGUUUGGGAAUGCAGCUCAAAAUGGGUGGUAAAUUUCAUCUAAAGCUAAAUACUGGCCAGAGACCGAUAGCGCACAAGUAGAGUGAUCGAAAGAUGAAAAGUACUUUGGAAAGAGAGUUAAACAUUAC
rnacentral:rRNA from 1 species